UUGGGCACGAAGGCGUGGAAGUGCCGGAGGUUCUCGAGCACCGUGGCCGACCAGUCGCCCGUCGGAUCCCAGCCGACGUGCCCGAAC
rnacentral:tRNA from 1 species